AGCGAACGCUGGCGGCAGGCUUAACACAUGCAAGUCGAGCGGGCGUAGCAAUACGUCAGCGGCAGACGGGUGAGUAACGCGUGGGAACUUACCUUUUGGUUCGGAACAACACAGGGAAACUUGUCCUAAUACCGGAUAAGCCCUUACGGGGAAAGAUUUAUCGCCGAAAGAUCGGCCCGCGUCUGAUUAGCUAGUUGGUGAGGUAACGGCUCACCAAGGCGACGAUCAGUAGCUGGUCUGAGAGGAUGAUCAGCCACAUUGGGACUGAGACACGGCACAAACUCCUACGGGAGGCAGGAGUGGGGAAUAUUGGAAAAUGGGGGCAAUGCUGAUGCAGCCAUGCCGGGUGAGUGAUGAAGGCCCUAGGGUUGUAAAGCUCUUUUGUGCGGGAAGAUAAUGACGGUACCGAAAGAAUAAGCCCCGGCUAACUUCGUG
rnacentral:rRNA from 1 species